CAAAUUUUAGUUUAAUCAUUGAAAAUUAUUCAUUUACAUUGAAUAGAUAUAUAAAAUUUAUAAAUUUGA
rnacentral:tRNA from 1 species